rnacentral:rRNA from 1 species
UACGUAGGCGGCCUUGUAGGUUGGGUGUGAAAUCCCACGGCUCAACCGUGGAACUGCGCCCAAAACCACAAGGCUUGAGGGAGACAGGGGUAUGCGGAACUGAUGGUGGAGCGGUGAAAUGCGUUGAUAUCAUCAGGAACACCGGUGGCGAAGGCGGCAUACUGGGUCUCUUCUGACGCUGAGGUACGAAAGCUAGGGUAGCGAACAGGAUUAGAUACCCUGGUAGUCC